UCGUGUUGUCCCGUCGCGCGCGUGCCGCGGACCGGUCGUACGCGCAGAUAUUAUUGUCAUUGUUAUUAUUGUUGCGUACACAGACGUACGAAAUACGUUAUUACGAAACACGGUGGUCAACGAUAAGGCGGUGUGUUUUGGCGACAGUCCCGGUUUACAUUCGCUACCGGCGUUUUAUGAUUUCGGUUGACAGGGUUACAGGUUCGCAAAAACGACACGUUUGUUGCCGUCACAAAUAACGUCAAUUGAUAAUGAACGAGAGUGCCGCUACU